rfam:Otolemur garnettii contig020359, whole genome shotgun sequence.
GCCGGAUGUGGUGGUGUGUGCCUGUAGUCCCAGCUAAUCAGGAGGCUGAGACAGGAGGAUUGCUUGGGUCCAGGAGUUCUGGGCUGUAGUGCACUAUGCCAAUUGGGUGUCCGCACUCAGUUUGGGCAUCAAUAUGGUGACUUCCCGGAAGUGGGGGCCACCAGGUUGCCUAAGAAAGGGAAAACUGGCCCAGGUCGGAAAUGGAGCAGAUUAAAACCCUGGUGCUGAUAAGUAGUGGGACUGCACUUGUGAACAACCACUGCACUCCAGCCUGGGCAACAUAGUGAGACCCUGUGUCUU